AAGACCUAUGAAAUAUUAACACAUAUCUCCUGAAUGCAACUCAAGCACUUUAAUUAAGCUAAAGCCUC
rnacentral:tRNA from 1 species